GACUUUUCAAAAGGCUCAGCCUCAGUAACUUCAUAUUUAUAGAGCAUCGUCAGCUGUGAUGACAGUGAUCCACCCUGCAGUCACAUCUACUACAUGGAUGACAACUGUCUCUGCAAGGCUGAUUUCUCGGCUCCCUUCCUCCAUCCCUGUGCCUUCAGUGGUGAUUCUGUGCACUGAUGAAUAUGAAACUGGAACUUCUGCAUGCUGUAGCAAUAAGGCCAUUAGAAAUUCAGUUUACAGCCUGACCUCUGUUCUCUGAGGAGGAUCUAAAGGACUUAUUACCAGUUUGGUUGUGCUGCUUGCUAACGCUUGUGAGCAUGUAUGUACAAGAAAUUAUAUUAAAAUGAUAUAUUAAUCUAGUAAUAUAGUAGUCUUCCAUCUUUAGAAAGUUCUGAUAGAGAACCACUGGGGUAUAAGGGAAAAUGAAUUAUGAAAACUAGUGCUGAACAGAGAGAAGAGACUAUUGAAAACAGAACACUUUAAUUGACCAUUACAGCCUUCUUCAGCAUUUCAGUUUAGUUCAAGGGAAAGAAAAUAGAAAA